GACGAACGCUGGCGGCGUGCCUAACACAUGCAAGUCGAGCGAGGGGAAAGGCUUCGGCCUAGAACCUAGCGGCGGACGGGUGAGUAACGCGUGAGGAACCUGUCCCAAACAGGGGGAUACCAGAUGGAAACAUCUGCUAAUACCGCAUAAGACCACAGAGCCACAUGGUUCAGGGGUCAAAGGAGCAAUCCGGUUUGGGGUGGCCUCGCGUCCGAUUAGCUAGUUGGUGAGGUAAUGGCCCACCAAGGCGACGAUCGGUAGCCGACCUGAGAGGGUGAUCGGCCACAUUGGAACUGAGACACGGUCCAA
rnacentral:rRNA from 1 species